UGGGCUGUGGCUCAGUGGAAGAACCUCUGCUUUGCAUGCAGAAGGUCCCAAGUUCAGUCCCUGCAAUCUUCAGUUUAA
rnacentral:tRNA from 1 species